rnacentral:rRNA from 1 species
AGUGAACGCUGGCGGCGUGCCUAAUACAUGCAAGUCGAACGGAGUGGCGCACGGGUGAGUAUUGUAUAGCUCAUCUGCCCUACACUAGAGGCCAACAGUUUGAAACGGCUGCUAAUACUCUAUAAUGUAGGAGGAGGCUAUAUUGUAUCAGCUAGUUGGUGAGGUAAUGACUCACCAAGGCUAUGACGCAUAACUGGUCUGAGAGGAUGAUCAGUCACACUGGAACUGAGACACGGUCCAGACUCCUAAGGGAGGCAGCAGUAGGGAAUAUUGCUCAAUGGGGGAAACCCUGAGGAAGCAACGCCGCGUGGAGGAUGACACUUUUAGGAGCGUAAACUCCUUUUGUUAGGGAAGCGGUACCUAACGAAUAAGCACCGGCUAACUCCGUGCCAGCAGCCGCGGUAAUAC